rfam:Felis catus isolate Cinnamon breed Abyssinian chromosome E1, whole genome shotgun sequence.
GCCUGGGUGGCUCAGUCGGUUAAGCGUCUGACUUCAGCUCAGGUCAUGAUCUCACAGUCCGUGAGUUCGAGCCCCGCGUCGGGCU